UACGUAGGUGGCAAGCGUUAUCCGGAAUGACUGGGCGUAAAGGGUGCGUAGGUGGUUUGGCAAGUUGGCGGCGUAAUUCCGAGGCUCAACCUCGGCGCUACCGCCAAAACUGUCGGACUUGAGUGCAGGAGGGGUAAGUGGAAUUCCUAGUGUAGCGGUGGAAUGCGUAGAUAUUAGGAGGAACAUCGGUGGCGAAGGCGCCCUGGGUCUGUACUGACGCUGAGAUGCGAAAGCGUGGGGAGCGAACGGG
rnacentral:rRNA from 1 species